AUAAUAACGUAAGUGGGAAGAGUAACUACGACUUCAUAUUUCCAGAGAGUAUACAUGAGCUGAAAGUAUACAUAUGAGUGUAGUGAAGGUAGCCCGAUUGAACUUUAGUUGAAAGCGAAUGUCGCCACUAGGCUAAAGCGUGAAUUGAGCGUUAAUCAUGCAAACAAGUGCGUAAGUUGUUGCGACGAUGCGUCGUGCGCUUACGAAGUUAGGUGGUACCACGGAAGAUCCGUCCUAUUA
rnacentral:ncRNA from 1 species